GACAGAGGAUGCAAGCGUUAUCCGGAAUGAUUGGGCGUAAAGCGUCUGUAGGUGGCUUUUCAAGUCCGCCGUCAAAUCCCAGGGCUCAACCCUGGACAGGCGGUGGAAACUACCAAGCUGGAGUACGGUAGGGGGCAGAGGGGAAUUUCCGGUGGAGCGGUGAAAAUGCGUAGAGAUCGGAAAGAACACCAACGGCGAAAAGCACUCUGCUGGGCCGACACUGACACUGAGAGACGAAAAGCUAGGGGGAGCAAAAUGGGGAUUAGAUACCCCUGUAGUCC
rnacentral:rRNA from 1 species